UGUGUGUGUGUGUGUUCAAGUGAGAGUGGGAAAGAGCCACAGUGUGUAUGAGUAAGUAAACGCAGGGGGCCAAGCUGCAGGCCAGCUCCUCCAGAAGAGGAUCAAACGGGUGGUACACGUGUGAGCCAGACACCCGCUGAGAGCCAUUAACACACACGCGCACACGCACACGCACACACACACACACACACACACACACACACACACACACACACACAGAGGCCUCCCAGACACUCCUCUUUCACAGUACUGCAAUGGCGUGUUUGCGCUCUUUCGCUCUUCCUCUCCUUCUCCCACUCACUUUAUGGACUGUGUUUGUGUGUGUGUGUGUGUUUGUGUGUGUGUGUGUGUGUGUGUGUGUGUGGGGAGCCACUGGAAGUCGGCCGUAUAGAAGAUAAAAUAAAUAAGGCUUUGGGUAAAGACGAAAGCUGAUGUAGAGGGAAAGUGGUGUUUGGGGUUUUUAUAAGCAAGUAGGUAAGUAAGUAAGAACGUAGGUAAUUCAGUAGUUAGGUAAGUAAGUAAGUACGUAGGUAAGUAAGUUAGUAAGUAGUAAGGUAAGUAAGUAGGUUAGUAUGCUAGUAACUACAUAGUUAGGUAAGUAAGUAGGUAGUUAGGUAAGUAAGUAGGUUAGUAUGUUAGUAAGUAAGUAGGUAGUUAGGUAAGUAAGUAAGUAGGUUAGUAUGUUAGUAAGUAGGUAUAUUAGUAUGCUAGUAAGUAAGUAGGUAGGUAAGUAAGUAAGUAGGUUAGUAAGUAGGUAUAUUAGUAUGCUAGUAAGUAAGUAGGUAGGUAAGUAAGUAGGUAGAUAAGUAGGUUAGUAUGCUAGUAAGUAAGUAGGUAGUUAGGUAAGUAAGUAAGUAGGUUAGUAUGUUAGUAAGUAAGUAGGUAGUUAGGUAAGUAAGUAAGUAGGUUAGUAUGUUAGUAAGUAGAUAUAUUAGUAUGGUAGUAAGUAAGUAGGUAGGUAAGUAAGUAGGUAGAUAAGUAAGUAGGUAGAUAAGUAAGUAGGUAGAUAAGUAAGUAGGUAGAUAAGUAAGUAGGUUAGUAUGGUAGUAAGUAAGUAGGUAGGUAAGUAAGUAGGUAGGUAAGUAAGUAGGUAGAUAAGUAAGUAAAUAUGUAAGUAAGUAGGUUAGUAUGGUAGUAAGUACGUAGGUAGAUAAGUAGGUAAGUAAGUAAAUAUGUAAGUAAGCAGGUUAGUAUGGUAGUAAGUAAGUAGGUUAGUAUGGUAGUAAGUACGUAGGUAGAUAAGUAGGUAAGUAAGUAAAUAUGUAAGUAAGCAGGUUAGUAUGGUAGUAAGUAAGUAGGUAGGUAAGUAAGUAGGUAGAUAAGUAAGUAAAUAUGUAAGUAAGUAGGUUAGUAUGGUAGUAAGUACGUAGGUAGAUAAGUAGGUAAGUAAGUAAAUAUGUAAGUAAGCAGGUUAGUAUGGUAGUAAGCAGGUUAGUAUGGUACUAAGUAGGUAAGUAAGUAAAUAUAUAAGUAAGUAGGUAGGUAGAUAAGUAGGUAAGUAAGUAAAUAUGUAAGUAAGUAGGUAGGUAGAUAAGUAGGUAAGUAAGUAAGUAGGUUAGUAUGGUAGUAAGUAGGUAAGUAAGUAAAUAUGUAAGUAAGUAGGUUAGUAUGGUAGUAAGUAGGUAAGUAAGUAAAUAUGUAAGUAAGUAGGUAGGUUAAUAAGUAAGUGGGUAGGUUAAUAAGUAAGUGGGUAGGUAUGAGGUCCUGGUAAAGAAACACUGAAAUGGUAGUGGGAUAAUGAAAGCUGUUAACAGUCAUGCCACCCUGCAGGCUGGA